rnacentral:rRNA from 1 species
UAAUACAGAGGGUGCAAGCGUUAAUCGGAAUUACUGGGCGUAAAGCGUGCGUAGGCGGUCAUUUAAGUCGGGUGUGAAAUCCCCGGGCUCAACCUGGGAAUUGCAUUCGAUACUGGAUGGCUAGAGUUCGGCAGAGGGAAGUGGAAUUUCCGGUGUAGCGGUGAAAUGCGUAGAUAUCGGAAGGAACAUCAGUGGCGAAAGCGACUUCCUGGACCAGAACUGACGCUCAGGCACGAAAGCGUGGGGAGCAAACAGGAUUAGAUACCCUGGUAGUCCACGCCAUAAACGAUGAGGACUAGACGUUGGGAGGGUAAGCCUCACAGUGUCGCAGCUAACGCGUUAAGUCCUCCGCCUGGGGAGUACGGCCGCAAGGUUG